rnacentral:rRNA from 1 species
UACAGAGGGUGCGAGCGUUGUUCGGAAUUAUUGGGCGUAAAGGGCGCGUAGGCGGUGCGGUAAGUCACCUGUGAAAUCUCCUGGCUCAACUGGGAGCUUGCAGGCGAAACUGCCGUGCUGGAGUGUGGGAGAGGUGAGUGGAAUUCCCGGUGUAGCGGUGAAAUGCGUAGAUAUCGGGGAGGAACACCUGUGGCGAAAGCGGCUCACUGGACCACAACUGACGCUGAGGCGCGAAAGCGAGGGAGCAAACAGG